rnacentral:rRNA from 1 species
AUCAAUAAGCGGAGGAAAAGAAACCAACAGGGAUUGCCCCAGUAACGGCGAGUGAAGCGGCAACAGCUCAAAUUUGAAAUCUGGCCCCCCGGGGCCCGAGUUGUAAUUUGCAGAGGAUGCUUUUGGCGAGGCGCCUUCCGAGUUCCCUGGAACGGGACGCCAUAGAGGGUGAGAGCCCCGUCUGGUUGGACGCCGAGCCUCUGUAAAGCUCCUUCGACGAGUCGAGUAGUUUGGGAAUGCUGCUCUAAACGGGAGGUAUAUGUCUUCUAAAGCUAAAUACCGGCCAGAGACCGAUAGCGCACAAGUAGAGUGAUCGAAAGAUGAAAAGCACUUUGAAAAGAGGGUUAAAUAGUACGUGAAAUUGUUGAAAGGGAAGCGCUUGUGACCAGACUUGGGCCCGGCGGAUCACCCAGCGUUCUCGCUGGUGCACUCCGGCGGGCCCAGGCCAGCAUCAGCUCGUCCCGGGGGACAAAGGCGGGGGGAACGUGGCUCCUCCGGGAGUGUUAUAGCCCACCGCGCAAUGCCCUGGGGCGGGCUGAGGACCGCGCAUCUGCAUGGAUGCUGGCGUAAUGGUCACCAGCGACCCGUCUUGAAACACGGACCAAGGAGUCGUCUUCGUAUGCGAGUGUUCGGGUGUCAAACCCCUACGCGUAAUGAAAGUGAACGCAGGUGAGAGCUUCGGCGCAUCAUCGACCGAUCCUGAUGUUCUCGGAUGGAUUUGAGUAGGAGCAUACGGGGCCGGACCCGAAAGAAGGUGAACUAUGCCUGUGUAGGGUGAAGCCAGAGGAAACUCUGGUGGAGGCUCGCAGCGGUUCUGACGUGCAAAUCGAUCGUCAAACAUGGGCAUGGGGGCGAAAGACUAAUCGAACCUUCUAGUAGCUGGUUUCCGCCGAAGUUUCCCUCAGGAUAGCAGUGUUGAUCUCAGUUUUAUGAGGUAAAGCGAAUGAUUAGGGACCCGGGGGCG